rnacentral:misc_RNA from 1 species
AAGAAACACUGAUAUGCAGUCAAGAAAAACACCCCGACAAAGCAAAACACAUAAUGCUGCUCAAACCUUCAUUACUUGGUCCAAAAUGCUAAUGUGGAACGCUAACAGCAGCACCACCUUCGGCUUCCUCCUUGGCCUUGCGUGCAGCAGCUCUUAUUUGGCGUUGCUCUUCUUUAUAGAUCCUGUUCCUCCUUUGGAACUCUUUGGAGUGGUGGAGGCACUCGAGGUAGUCCUCGCGGAGGAGGAAGCAGUCCUUGGGCUCCCGGCAGCGCGACAUGCACUCGCUGAAGUCCGUCCAGAAGUCGUAGCACCGCCCCUUGUUGCCCGUGAUUCCCCAUCCCGACGCCAUUAGCGCACACUCGCUCGCCCUAGCCCGGUUAUAUGAGAGAGAUGGACCCUUG